rnacentral:tRNA from 1 species
GCGUGGGUGGCGAAAUUGGUAGACGCUCCAGGUCUAGGUCCCCCCGCCCGCUCGGGUCCGCCUGUUCGAGUCCGGCCUCACGCACCA